rnacentral:rRNA from 1 species
AACGUAGGUGGCGAGCGUUAUCCGGAAUCACUGGGCGUAAAGGGCGCGUAGGCGGCCUGGUAAGUAGGGGGUGAAAUCCUGCGGCUUAACCGCAGGGCUGCCUUCUAAACUGUCAGGCUCGAGCACAGUAGAGGCAGGUGGAAUUCCCGGUGUAGCGGUGGAAUGCGUAGAGAUCGGGAAGAACAUCAGUGGCGAAGGCGGCCUGCUGGGCUGUUGCUGACGCUGAGGCGCGACAGCGUGGGGAGCAAACAGG